rnacentral:lncRNA from 1 species
AAAGAUGUUAAAGUUGAGUUUGGUAUUGGCAACUCAUUCUUAGACUUCUGGUCAUCGUUGCUAGGCUUGGUGUAUUCAGUUGAGUAGUGAUGACUUGGAAUGAUCACAGUUCUUCAAGGUUAUGAUCAUGGCCAGCAUAAUUUUUGUUUCUGAAAUAUUUGCUUGAGGGCAUUUUAGAUUUUAGUCUUCAUCUUCCUCAGCAAGUUCAGUUUCUUUGUGCACCACUACUCUUGUGACAGACAUGUCAGGGUGCUGUUCUUUGGCUUCUUUGAUUGCCUGUGCCAGAGCCUCAUCAUGGUCAAUAUCUGCAUCUCCAGUAAUGACAAUUCGUUUCUCAAUUCUUGUUUCUGAUACACCACCUUUAACCAUCUUUGUGAUGUGUGUAGUUGUGGUAGUAGAAAUUGACUCUGACGUAAUUGUCUGUGCACUCAGCAGCACACCAGCACCACCACCAGCACUACCAUCAAACUGUGGAGAUUCGUAUGUGAUGGUUUUAGUUUCUGUUUGAACAAUUGGAACUUCUUUUGUGGAGAUUUCAGUUCUCUGUGUGGCAUCUGAAAUGGUUACCAUCUCUGUUUUCACUACUGGAGGCUCAGAACAACAAAUUAUUUGUGGUGAAACAUCAGUGUCAACAUGAGACACAUCUCCAUUGAGUUUGAGCUGUUCCUCUUCCUUUUCUUCACCUAGGUCUUGCUUAAUUUCCUCUGACAAAUUCUUCUCCUCUGUAGGUAUCGCAGUUGCAUUUUCCUGAACCAAAUCUUCAGCUGCAACUUGUGUGCACUCAGCUGGUACAGUUAGCUGACUGACUUCUAGCGUGGCUUCCACAUGCUGUAUCUUUUCUUCAUGUUCUUUCCUUUUCACAUCUUCCUCUUCUUCCUGUUCUUCUCUGAUGACUUCCUCAACAGCCCUGUGAUGUGGCUGGUAUUCUCCCACCUCUUCAUCCUCACUCUCACUACUACUGCUGCUACUACUAUCUGAUGGCAAAGAAGAAGAGUCCUUUUUUGGCAAGUGCUCCACCUUACAUGUUUCCCCAGCAUCAGUGGCAACUUGUAUUUUCCCUUUGUUGGUUUCAUCUAUGACUAGUGUUUCUUCUAUCCCAACCUCUGCCUGCUUCUUCUCCUCCACUAUGUCCAGAGUCUCAUGUGAACUCCCUUGUGUCUGUAGGGACAGAGGUGUGAUACGCCGCUUUUCCCACUCAUUGGGGCGUGGUUCGGGUGUGGAUUCCAUGAAAUUGCGCUUGAGCUCACUAAUGCUAGCCUGGUGUUUCAAUAAGUCGUCCUGGGUCUUAUCCAGGUCCUCCAACAUUAAAUUGCUAUGUCUGACAUAAAUAUUUUCCCCGUCUACUCUCAACGAAUUGCUCUUUCCAUCCUGAAUCAACUCUAAUUGUGGAGUUUUGAGUGGGCUUCCAUCAUCUUCUCUGCCACCUUCUUUCAACUUGGCUUCUCCAGCAGCUGCAAGGUCAAUGAUCUUGUCUCCUCCAGGCUGCCCUCUUGUACGGAAGUCUCUUAGCAGACUUUGG